rnacentral:rRNA from 1 species
CCUACGGGAGGCAGCAGUGGGGAAUAUUGGACAAUGGGCGAAAGCCUGAUCCAGCAAUGCCGCGUGAGUGAUGAAGGCCUUAGGGUUGUAAAGCUCUUUUACCAGGGAUGAUAAUGACAGUACCUGGAGAAUAAGCUCCGGCUAACUCCGUGCCAGCAGCCGCGGUAAUACGGAGGGAGCUAGCGUUGUUCGGAAUUACUGGGCGUAAAGCGUACGUAGGCGGUUAUUCAAGUCAGAGGUGAAAGCCUGGAGCUCAACUCCAGAACUGCCUUUGAAACUAGGUAGCUAGAAUCACGGAGAGGUUAGUGGAAUUCCGAGUGUAGAGGUGAAAUUCGUAGAUAUUCGGAAGAACACCAGUGGCGAAGGCGACUAACUGGACGUGUAUUGACGCUGAGGUACGAAAGCGUGGGGAGCAAACAGGAUUAGAUACCCUGGUAGUCCACGCCGUAAACGAUGAUAACUAGCUGUUCGGUCUCUACGAGACUGAGUGGCGCAGCUACGACAUAAGUUAUCCGUCCGUCGGGAGGUACGGUCGCGAAGAAGUUAAACGUAACGAAAGGUAAAGUUAGUACGGUUCGUUGUAGAGUUGCGACGGCGACGACGAGGGAGGAGG